rnacentral:rRNA from 1 species
CAGUCGCCGCGGUAAUACGAAGGGGGCUAGCGUUGUUCGGAAUUACUGGGCGUAAAGCGCGCGUAGGCGGAUCGAUCAGUCAGGGGUGAAAUCCCAGGGCUCAACCCUGGAACUGCCUUUGAUACUGUCGAUCUGGAGUAUGGAAGAGGUGAGUGGAAUUCCGAGUGUAGAGGUGAAAUUCGUAGAUAUUCGGAGGAACACCAGUGGCGAAGGCGGCUCACUGGUCCAUUACUGACGCUGAGGUGCGAAAGCGUGGGGAGCAAACAGGAUUAGAUACCCCAGUAGUCCCUGUCUCUUAUAC